rnacentral:rRNA from 1 species
CUACGGGGUGCUGCAGUCGAGAAUCUUCCGCAAUGGACGAAAGUCUGACGGAGCGACGCCGCGUGCGGGAUGAAGGCCUUCGGGUUGUAAACCGCUGUCAGUGGGGAGGAAAUGCAUCAGGGUUCUCCCUGGUGUUUGACCGAUCCGCAGAGGAAGCGCAGGCUAAGUUCGUGCCAGCAGCCGCGGUAACACGAACUGCGCGAACGUUAUUCGGAAUCACUGGGCUUAAAGAGUUCGUAGGCGGCCUUUCAAGUCGGGUGUGAAAUCCCUCGGCUCAACCGAGGAAUUGCGCCUGAUACUGGUGGGCUUGAGGGGGAUAGGGGUGAGCGGAACUGAUGGUGGAGCGGUGAAAUGCGUUGAUAUCAUCAGGAACACCGGUGGCGAAGGCGGCUCACUGGAUCUCUUCUGACGCUGAGGAACGAAAGCUAGGGGAGCGAACGGGAUUAGAUACCCGUGUAGUC